CGCGGCCACCCACACCUUCGUCAACAUGACUUUUGACGAAUGGCUCUCCACCAAUUUAUAGAAUAAAUACAAUUUGUGCUCUUCUUUCCAGGACUGAAGGACGUUUUUUGGCAUCAUCUGCUGGUUAUUAUGGAAGCAACGAAAUGCCGUGGUCUUCAAUGGCCAGUUGCUCAGUGUAGAUGAGCUGAGAUAAAAGAUUUUUAGGAUGA
rnacentral:lncRNA from 1 species